rnacentral:rRNA from 1 species
CCUACGGGGGGCAGCAGUGGGGAAUAUUGGACAAUGGGCGAAAGCCUGAUCCAGCCAUGCCGCGUGUGUGAAGAAGGCCUUCGGGUUGUAAAGCACUUUCAGUGGGGAAGAAAGCCUUGGGGCUAAUACCCUCGAGGAAGGACAUCACCCACAGAAGAAGCACCGGCUAACUCCGUGCCAGCAGCCGCGGUAAUACGGAGGGUGCGAGCGUUAAUCGGAAUUACUGGGCGUAAAGCGCGCGUAGGCGGUCUGAUAAGCCGGUUGUAAAGCCCCGGGCUCAACCUGGGAACGGCAUCCGGAACUGUCAGGCUAGAGUAAAGGCAAGGACGGUAGAAUUCCCGGUGUAGCGGUGAAAUGAGUAGAGAUCGGAAGGAAUACCAGUGGCGAAGGAGGCCUUCUGGACUGACACUGACGCUGAGGUGCGAAAGCGUGGGUAGCAAACAGGAUUAGAUACCCUAGUAGUC